GAACUGUAGCCCAUCAGGCUCCUCUGUCCAUGGGAUUUUCCAAGCUAGCAUACUGGAGUGGGCAGACAUUUCCUUGAACCCAUGAAACUCCAUUCCCUAGUUUCGACAUGCAUUGAAAUGACUAUUAGUUGGAUUUUUUAAAAAAUAAAGAAUAAUCUGCUUAUGGUUUUUACACCAGAAACUUCAAGGACUUUAUAGAUAUAAUACAGAUGGAAAUAAAUUAAGGAAAGUACACCCAACGGAGAGAUCUUAAAUGCAAAGGAAGUAUCUACCUGGGAGGGUGGCAAAAAUGAUCCAGAAAAUUAGUUUUGCCAACACCCAUUAGGUAACAAUGGCCGGGUUGGUGAUGAGCGUGGGUGUGCUAUGAGGCACAGGUGACUUCCCCAGUGUAUCCAGAGUCCACAGGAGCUGGAGGGCCCUCUGCGAUCAGAAGUCACUGACAGAUUAAACCUGGCUUUCCCUGGGCAUGAGGAAUGGAGUACGGUCCUGGUUGGCUGCUGAUUGGAAGAACUAGACCAGGCCAAGUAAAAAAGCAGUAGUUCAGCGAAUUCCUACAGACUGCUCUACAUGGAGAAACUGGCCAACAGGUCAAGCUGCCUGGGGUACCUCCUUUUUCUCAGGUCAUCCCCACCUCUGCCCCUGCAUCUCUGAGCACUCUCAUUAGAGCUGAGACACUGCAAAGUAUUCAACCAUCUCUGAAAGGAUACAUUUCCAAUGCCAAUCUUUGAAAAGCACAGACGUUUCUGCUUGCACAUAAGCAAAAUUCUGAAGAGACAAAGUGGCUAUCUUCCUAAGAAACACCGUGACAGUAAGAAAUGGAAGAAUUUCUUUUCAAUGUAUUCUCUAAAUACAACUCAAAAGGACACUGCAUCUCAAAAGAGAGGAUCAUGGAAAGAGGCAGUCAAGAACAAGGGAAAAACAGAAAGGCCAGCCUACAUAGUUAAGACAGUAACAAAGGCAGGGAAUAGCAGUCCAAACUGUGGAAAAACUCAAAUCAGUCAAGGAAAAAGCUCAAGGAAAGUCUCUCCAGUCUCAAGGGGAAGAGUAAAGAGAUGA
rnacentral:lncRNA from 1 species